rnacentral:tmRNA from 1 species
GGGGGUGACCGGUUUCGACUUUGGCCUUGCAAGACAGUGGGAAGCGAGCCGAGGACGGCGGACAUAACCUCGUUAAUCCUGUGACCGCGAAAAAUAAGUGCCAAUAAGAAGCACGCUGAGAUGCCCGCCCAGGCUUCCCUGGGCCUCGCUGCCUAAGUAGCGAACAUCUCUGUCGGCUCGGGAGCGCCUCCGGCCCGAGAUCCGGCAUCGCUAGGAGGCUCAACCGAUCUGACCGGCUACGGGGAGGAUCGGGAAAUCAAACAGUAGCUGAGCCCGUCGGCGACUUGCCUGCGUGAUCGCCGGGGCCGAGAAACUCACAGCAGGCUGCGCUCGGAGAAUCCCUGGCUUGGGGUUGAAGGACGCGGGUUCGAUUCCCGCCACCUCCACUC